CUAGUUUGAUAGAGAGAGAAAAUCCUCUCAACUCUCUUCGUCAUUUUUUAUCUCUUCUCGGGUAUGCAGAGCGUAUUUUCCGGUUGGUUUCCCCUGUUCUUCGAGACAGGCGAAGAUGGUGUAUCCGGCUAAUCAGUGGCUUCCCUCUCACCUCGGGUAAGAAGAUGAAUUUGCAACAUGUGUUGGUUUUAUCUUGGGUCUAGUUAUUAUGCUCUGCUUGAAGGGAGGGAUAAUCAUAAGGGGCAUUUGCAACUCCGGGGAUUUAUGCUUUUUCUUCUCUUAUGGAAGCUCGCUCUUAAGGCUAUAUGAGAUUGAGAGGCCAGUGAGCUCUGGUGCGUCACCUUCCUGGAGAGGUUGAGCUGUGCUUUUAAUGUCGGGUGGUGGAGCCUUGGAAAUCUGAUGCUGUUUAAGCUUCUAUGUUUUUCUGGGUGGCCUUUGGUUGUUCAGAUGUUUCAUCAGAGCUUUGGUUGGGGAUGAAAAAAUGUUUCUCUUCCCAUUUUCCAAAUUGGAGAUCAAGCUUGUUGUGGUAGAUGGACAGCUUUCUUAGUCCUGUUCCCUUUUCUGUUUGUUUAGGGUUCUUAGAUUGGGGGUGAGCUACCAUGGUUUGGACUUAUUUUGUUGUAGGGCUUGAUUUGUGGGUCUCUAAUUUCUCUUCUACCGUGUUGUAAUUGGACUGGUUUAUAAGUUUGCCUUAUUGGCCUUGAAAUGCAA